CCCGCUCCCUCUCCAGUGCCUGUCUAUAUAAGGGGCUGUGGCCGCCGCCCCUGACACCUUCUCCUUUGGGUCCCCAGCGUCCCUGCAAAGCCGGCGGCUGAAGCCACGCGAGCAAUGGAGCGCCCGGCCUGUCCCUGUGCGAUCGGUGGCACCUGCACCUGUGGUAACAACUGCAAAUGCACAAACUGUAAAUGCACAUCGUGCAGGAAAAGCUGUUGUUCCUGUUGCCCACCUGGAUGCGCCAAGUGUGCCCAAGGCUGUAUCUGCAAAGGACAACCUUCCACCAAAUGCAGCUGCUGCAAAUAAUGUCAAGUAUCGGAGGGGGAGCCGUGUUAGUCUGGUUCUGUAAAAGCAGCAAAGAAUCCUGUGGCACCUUAUAGACUAACAGAUGUUUUGCAGCAUGAGCUUUCGUGGGUGAAUAAUGUAUGCAACUUCCCUUCCUGACAAUGAUCUGUAUAUUUGGUGACGUGAAAAUAACCUUAUUGUGCAUUUUGUAUAUUUGUCCAAAUACAGUCAGUGUUUGUGAUGUGAGCAUAGCUACUUAAACCAAUAAAAUUGCAUGUAUAUACGUAUCUUAAAA